GGUCCAGGGGUCCAGGGAAAGUCAGAAAAGGAAUAGAAGGGGAAUUUGGGGGAUGAUGGAAACCUCCCAUAUCUUUAUUGAGGUGAUGAUUGCAUGGAUGUAUAUGUUUGUCAAAGCUCUUUGAUGUAUAUUCUUCAGGAUUCAGCUUGAAGGGGGCUUCUGUGGGCAAAACCAGGACAAUUGAAGCAUCAAUAUAAUUAGAGUAGCAGUAUUACUCAAGAUAUUUCAUAUGUCCAUACUAAAAUAAAUGAUGAAUUAAUGAGAUGAGAAAGAACUUACAGAAUUCCAACUAGUAAAUGUAGAAGGAAUGAUAGAGUUAGAAAAUAUCUUUCAACCAUCAUGGUAGUAAUUGAUUCAGGCAGAAAUCUCAUUGAUUAUAAAUCUGUUGCUAAAGAUUGAUGAUGAACAGGAUAUUUUUGUAGUCUCAAAUUAUCUCCCCACAGAUAACUUGCUACAAAAACAAAAAUACUUUAGCGUGAUCACAGUUAAUCAAAUGAUUUGAAUUUGCAACUGUCUUCUGGACUGUAGGUUCUCAAGGUGUGAAAUUCAAACUUGCUGUGCUCAGUCACUUCUUGAUUUAAUAUAGUAACCAGAUCUUGUCUCUAAGAUGUUCAUGUUUUGUUUAUCAUGAACUUUUUUUUUAAUUGAGACCACCAAUGGGUCUUUCCCCCCCGCCCCCACAUUUUAUUUAUUUAUUUAUUUUUGGCUGAGUUGGGUCUUCGUUGCUGCGCGCAGGCUUUCUCUAGUUUCAGAGAGAGGGGCUACUCUUCGUCACGGUGCGCGGGCUUCUCUUGUCGCGGAGCAUGGGCUCUAGGCGUGCGGGCUUCAGUAGUUGCAGCAUGUGGGCUCAGUUGUUGUGGCUUGUGGGCUCUAGAGUGCAGGCUCAGUAGUUGUGGCGCACGGGCUUAGUUGCUCCGCCGCAUGUGGGAUCCUCCCGGACCAGGGCUUGAACCCGUGUCCCCUGCAUUGGCAGGCGGAUUCUUAACCACUGCGCCACCAGGGAAGUCCCUAUCAUGAACUUUUAUUUAUUUAUUUAUUUAUUUUUGCGGUACGCGGGCCUCUCACUAUUGCGGCCUCUCCCGUUGUGGAGCACAGGCUCCGGACGCUCAGGCUCAGCGGCCAUGGCUCACGGGCCCAGCCGCUCCGCGGCAUGUGGGAUCCUCCCGGACCGGGGCACAAACCCAUGUCCCCUGCAUCGGCAGGCAGACUCUCAACCACUGCGCCACCAGGGAAGCCCGAACUUUUUACACUGAUCUUUAUUUUAAAAAAUAUUUCAUUGAUCUAUCACGUUUUGUGAUUUCUGGGUUUUUUAUUUUUUGGUGCCCCAUUAAACGUUGUGCUUGAAGGAGUGCUUCACUCACCUCACUCUAGUUGUGGCCUUGGCUUAAGCAUGUUUGGGAGAGGUUGAGGAAAGGAAGGAUGGAAGAACAGAUGCGCUGCGGCAUCUAAACUCUACCCUAUUCUCAGGUUCCUGUCCCUUCUGUUCUUCGAGAAAAGUUGUUUUCUUCUCACCUCUUUGAAAAACUCCUUGGCCUUUGAAAAGCUGUCUGAUUACAACAAUCCCAAACUAAUCAUUCUAAAAGCUGCGCUUUUUGCUUCACAUACACUGACAGUGUAAAACAGAUACUAUUUUCCUCAUUUUGACUAUGAAGUAAAUGGAGAUGGACAAAGGUUAAAUGACUUGCUAAAGGACACAGAGCUGGUGGAGUGGAGGAGCUGGUAUUUCCACCAAACCAGGCCUUAGUACCUGUGGGUGGAGGAGAUGCUGCCUCUGCCUUCUGAGUGAUGAGUGAGCCAGUGUGGUGGAACCUUGGAGAAAGCAUCUUCAGAGACAGAAGACAUUUGCUUCAUGAUGUCACAGAAGCCAUGAGGCCUCUCGGAAACAGAACCAAAGAGACGGGAGCCCUGGACUCUGGGCUGGGACCUGAGGGAGACAGAGUGUGAAGGUGCCCAGAAGAGAAAGUCACUGGGCCAUUCAGGCUUGUGCUGGUUAUUCCAAGAAAUAGCCACAAAGGAUAGGUUUCUGGUCAGGGCUGUAGGGUAGGUCAGCUGGGAUUCCUGAGGCUGUGAGUGUCAGGCAGCUGGAUGACCCAACUGGGAACAAAUUUGAAUGGAACCACAAAGCCAUAAGGCUGAAGGUGAGGAGCCUCAGGCACCCAAGCGGGGACAGGUUGUUUGUGGCCGGCCAGUAUAACAGACCAGAGUCUUAACCUCUGUGGAGGUAAGAUUGGGCGUUUGGUUUGGAAUGUGAUAGUUUGAAAUGUCUGUUAGGUAUAUAAGUAGAAAUAUUAACCAUGACUUCAGGGGAGAUAUCUGGACUGAAAUCUUAAAUUGAGAAAUCAUUUUAUCGGGUAGCUGUUUUGUAUUCUUUUACAUACUGAAGCAUAUCAGUUUUUCCCUUUCUACCUGUUAUUUUGCUCAAAAGUUGUUUCCUUACUCCUAAAUUAUAAACGUCUAUCUUUAUUUUUCUGUAGAACUUUAUGGGAAUAUUUACAAUGCAUUUAUUUCCAUCUGUUUGGAAUUUGUUAUGCUGUAAAGUGUGAUGAAUCAAAUACUAUCUGUAAAAUCUGUACUUUGAAGAUUUAUUAAAGUUUUCUUCAUGACUAAU
ensembl:lncRNA